UCUUGGCCAGCCUUCUGAAAGGAAGAUUAAUCCAGGAUGGCAUCAUGAGUUCACAUGUCCGCAUGAUUAAAGGUAUUUUCCGGUAGACGAUGGGGAUGCGUUCCAUUAGAUAGUAGGCGGGGUAACGGCCCACCUAGUCAACGAUGGAUAGGGGUUCUGAGAGGAAGGUCCCCCACAUUGGAACUGAGACACGGUCCAAACUCCUACGGGAGGCAGCAGUGAGGAAUAUUGGUCAAUGGGCGAUGGCCUGAACCAGCCAAGUAGCGUGAAGGAUGACUGCCCUAUGGGUUGUAAACUUCUUUUAUAAAGGAAUAAAGUCGGGUAUGCAUACCCGUUUGCAUGUACUUUAUGAAUAAGGAUCGGCUAACUCCGUGCCAGCAGCCGCGGUAAUACGGAGGAUCCGAGCGUUAUCCGGAUUUAUUGGGUUUAAAGGGAGCGUAGAUGGAUGUUUAAGUCAGUUGUGAAAGUUUGCGGCUCAACCGUAAAAUUGCAGUUGAUACUGGAUGUCUUGAGUGCAGUUGAGGCAGGCGGAAUUCGUGGUGUAGCGGUGAAAUGCUUAGAUAUCACGAAGAACUCCGAUUGCGAAGGCAGCCUGCUAAGCUGCAACUGACAUUGAGGCUCGAAAGUGUGGGUAUCAAACAGGAUUAGAUACCCUGGUAGUCCACACGGUAAACGAUGAAUACUCGCUGUUUGCGAUAUACGGCAAGCGGCCAAGCGAAAGCGUUAAGUAUUCCACCUGGGGAGUACGCCGGCAACGGUGAAACUCAAAGGAAUCGACGGGGGCCCGCACAAGCGGAGGAACAUGUGGUUUAAUUCGAUGAUACGCGAGGAACCUUACCCGGGCUUAAAUUGCACUCGAAUGAUCCGGAAACGGUUCAGCUAGCAAUAGCGAGUGUGAAGGUGCUGCAUGGUUGUCGUCAGCUCGUGCCGUGAGGUGUCGGCUUAAGUGCCAUAACGAGCGCAACCCUUGUUGUCAGUUACUAACAGGUGAUGCUGAGGACUCUGACAAGACUGCCAUCGUAAGAUGUGAGGAAGGUGGGGAUGACGUCAAAUCAGCACGGCCCUUACGUCCGGGGCUACACACGUGUUACAAUGGGGGGUACAGAGGGCCGCU
rnacentral:rRNA from 1 species